ensembl:lncRNA
UGUUGUCAGAACUCCUCAGUGGUAAAACCGUGUUUAUGUUUGUGCCUUUGGCAGGUCAUGAAGGAUGUCAGUUUGAGUGACUGAGAAAGUUGCGUUCCUAAGAAUUCAAAGAGAGUGCCUGGAGGUGGCAAGAGGAGAACCGGGUGGCGCGGGAGAGAGGGACACUCGGAGAGAAUAAAUUAGUUCUGGGCGCUUUGUCUGCAAACAACUGCAGGCCUACACUGUUUGGCUUCUUCAGACACAAGCGUCGGGGCAGUGAGUGAUGAUAGCUCUUCCUGGCUGAUCCCCUCACAAAUCCCGAAGCUCUCCACUACCUGCUCAAACGCAUCAGGAGAGUGAGUCACAUGGCGUCAUCUCCCUUUGUGCUGUAACAUGGACAUGCACAUUCACACUGCAAAGCCAUCGCCAAAACGAUGAAAUUGUUUCCCCCUCUAAAGGAACCAGGGUGGACUGUCGCAUGUUGACAAUAAC